AAAAUAGGCAAAUCCGUUUAGACAAUGCUAGGAUGUGAUGGGGAAGCCCUUCGGGGCGAAGUAGCUGAUUUCACACUGUCAAGAAAAGCUUCUAUCGAGUUUAAAGGCGCCCGUACCGUAAACCGACACAGGUGGGUGAGGAGAGUAUCCUAAGGCCAGCGAGAGAACUAUUGUUAAGGAACUCGGCAAAAUGACCCCGUAACUUAGGGAGAAGGGGUGCCUGUCUAUGACAGGCCGCAGAGAAUAGGCCCAAGCGACUGGUUACCAAAAACACAGGUUUCUGCUAAGUCGCAAGACGAUGUAUAGGAGCUGACGCCUGCCCGGUGCUGGAAGGUUAAGGGGAUCUGUUAGAGCAAUCGAAGCAGUGAACUUAAGCCCCAGUAAACGGCGGCCGUAACGAUAACGGUCCUAAGGUAGCGAAAUUUCUUGUCGGGUAAGUUCCGACCCGCACGAAAGGCGUAACGAUUUGGGCACUGUCUCAACAAUAGACUCGGUGAAAUUGUAAUCCCGGUGAAGAUGCCGGGUACCUGCGACAGGACGGAAAGACCCCAUGGAGCUUUACUGUAGCUUGACGUUGGGUCUUGGUACUACAUGUACAGGAUAGGUGGGAGACUAUGAAGCAUGGACGCCAGUCUGUGUGGAGUCAUCCUUGGGAUACCACCCUUGUAGUACUGGGAUCCUAACCAUAGGCCUUGAAUCAGGUCUUGGAACACCGUCAGGUGGGCAGUUUGACUGGGGCGGUCGCCUCCUAAAAAGUAACGGAGGCGCUCAAAGGUUUCCUCAGCACGGUCGGAAAUCGUGCGAAGAGUGUAAAGGCAAAAGGAAGCUUGAUUGCAAGACAUACAGGUCGAGCAAGGACGAAAGUCGGACUUAGUGAUCCGGUGGUACCGCAUGGAAGGGCCAUCGAUCAACGGAUAAAAGCUACCCUGGGGAUAACAGGCUUAUCUCCCCCAAGAGUCCACAUCGACGGGGAGGUUUGGCACCUCGAUGUCGGCUCAUCACAUCCUGGGGCUGUAGUAGGUCCCAAGGGUUGGGCUGUUCGCCCAUUAAAGUGGUACGCGAGCUGGGUUCAGAACGUCGUGAGACAGUUCGGUCCCUAUCCGUCGCAGGCGUAGGAAAUUUGAGAAGACCUGUCCUUAGUACGAGAGGACCGGGAUGGACGUACCUCUGGUGUACCAGUUGUUCUGCCAAGGGCAUGGCUGGGUAGCUAUGUACGGAAUGGAUAAGCGCUGAAAGCAUCUAAGCGCGAAGCCAACUUCAAGAUAAGAUUUCCCACCGUAAGGGUAAGACCC
rnacentral:rRNA from 1 species